UUUUUCGUUUCCCUCGAAAAAAUUAUCAUUUCUCCUGACGCAAAAAUUAAUUGGAGUGAUCACAUAAUUACAACGGAAAUCUUAUCAUUUGGCCGGAGAUUAGGUGAAAUAAAUCCGUAAAUUCCACUUUUUUAUAUCACGAUAAUAUCCGAAAUUUAUCUGUUCUUUCGUUUCAUUGACCGAUUGAUUCGGUCGAGCCCCAGGGACUCUUGAUACCCAAUUAUCAUCGCCAAGAGCAUUGACUUCUUACUUCUGGAAUUCGUUCAUUUCAAUUACAAUUGUCUGGUUUCUUAUCAUUCCGGUCAGAGUCACCUCACGCCAAUCUCCAGUUCAAUUGACAUUGACAUUUAUCGAUAAAUUUUUCUCAUGCUCGUGGAAAAUUACGAGUCAUCCACAAAAUCCGUAGAAAUGCCGACGAUCUCGUGACGUCGACGAUGACGUGAUGCAGCUGAUUAAUUAAACACCUGUUAUUUACUUUACACGUGUGACCUUCGAGUGUCAAAUGACGGUUUUUUAUCAAAAUGGUAAAUCUGCAGAGAUUGUGAAUUCUUGGAUCUCAGUUGAUGACACGGGUAAUUACUGUUGGAUUACUCUGGGAUUGAGGAAUGGGAAAUCGUAAUGCAGGGGAUAUUGGUCAAGAAUUUUUUCAUUUCAUCUCACGUCUGACGGUUCAUGCAUGACUGAAUUAUGUUGCAAUCAGGCCUCGAGAUCAUAAUAAAAUAAAUAAAUUUUCUCGAACACUUAGAAUUUUGUAAUUAUUCCUCAUAAAUUCACUGAAA